UACGUAGGGGGCAAGCGUUGUCCGGAAUCAUUGGGCGUAAGGAGCGUGUAGGCGGCCUGAUAAGUCGGCUGUGAAAGUCAAGGGCUCAACCCUUGAAUGCCGGCCGAUACUGUCAGGCUAGAGUCCGGAAGAGGCGAGUGGAAUUCCUGGUGUAGCGGUGAAAUGCGCAGAGUAUCAGGAGGAACACCGAUGGCGAAGGCAGCUCGCUGGGACGGUACUGACGCUGAGACGCGAAAGCGUGGGGAGCGAACAGG
rnacentral:rRNA from 1 species